rnacentral:lncRNA from 1 species
AGAAGGAAAAAAAUCUCUUCUAGGAGGAAGCAGGUUUGAAAGAGAAGAAAUAUGUCCCGAGCCUACUGAGCUCAGUGACUACAGUGAUAUGCCCCCUUUACAUGUUUAUACACUUAAAGGAGGUGCUCCGAGUCUUCCUCCUGGUGUCCCUGUGCUCUGUAUGGACACUGUCUCCCGGAGCCCUCUGCGUGUAAUCCCUGCUGCGCAGAGCUUCAGACAGAAGCAUGCUGUCCCAGCGCUGGCUGUCAUGAGUGGGCAGAGAAGUACCCGAGGGAAGCAUGGGGCAGGAAAUUCAUGCUUGAAAUCUCUGUAGGGUAAAAAAGCACACUUGGCCUGGUUAGAAAGUUGAGUUCCCAGUGCAGGCUGAAGAAUGCAAUGUCUUCACAACACAGCAGCUCAUAUUUACAGCUGGGAGAAAGUGUUCUAUAUGGUCUGGCCACACUGUUCAAGGAGCACUGGAUCCCCUCAGAGAAGCAUGACCCUUCCCACGACUUCACAAAAAUGGUGGAUCUCUGUAACAAAACUGCACAUUUACCUUUCAUACACCAUCUAGGAAAAUACAGGGAAAGCCAUAUGGCUCAAGGAGACAUCUCCUAUAAUUAGAUAUCACUUAACACAGUACCUAAUUGUACGGAUGCAGAGCCUACAUCUGUUGGAACUGGGCGUAGCAUGAAAUGUCAAAUGCAGAUUUAGAUGUGAGUAGGACUGCAAAGGGGAAAUUAAGCAUCUUUGACAUUCUUUUAAUUGAGAGAGAAAGAACUUUCUGAUGAGUUUGUGAAGAUUCUGAUGGGGAAGAGCAAAAGGCUUGAAGAAAUCUGAAUCUUUUCCCAGAAGGAAAGUGGAAUAAAAAGUACUUGGAGUACUUGUUACCUAUCUCC